GGAGGUUAUCCUACCAUUCUGCCCACCACCUUUCUCUACAACAAUCAGUCUAUCUUGUACAUACAUAGCAUUGAUGUCCAUAGAUUUGUUCGUCUGUUUGUUGGAGCUGACAGUCAAAAUCUAAGAACUAAUAAUGAGAUCUAGACAAUGGUAUUCCAAGAGUAGACUAUGGAUUUUGGUGUUGGCCCUUUUCUGAAUCAGAGCCCAUUCAGAUUGCAUUGAGCUUGUUCAUGGAUUUUUGCAAUGGUUAUGUAGCUGGAGUAGACUCCUGUAUUACAGGGCUUAUUGGAGUUGGAAAUUUGGAGAACAAUAGUUGCACUCCCGCUUUACGUGCUGAAAAGAGCUUCGAAUGGAAGAUUGCAGAUAUAAAUCUCAUUCAGUUACUUCAAGUAGCUAGUAAUGUAUUCAAACUGAGCUUUCCCAUAGAAAAAAAAGUAUAAAUCCAAGUUGGGCAUGGGCAAAAGUUAUAUGAGUUGUCCGGAGCGUCCAUUACACACAUCAGAGAAUUUGUGUGGAAAGCUAGAAAAAGAUAAGACCUGCAGAAAGCUUGUGUAGAAGCUGAAAGAUGAGUAUACUUUAAUGAGCAAUUAUACCAUCUUUAUUGUCUGUUAUUAAUAAAGCGCGAGGACAAAAGCAUGUGGAGCAAUUGAUGGGGCAAGACAGUAGAGCUGGUUGACAUUCAGUGUUACACAGUUUCUGUUAUUAUCAGAACUUCUGCCAUGACUAAUUAGUAAUACAGAAGUUCCAGUGUAGAAGAAUACGGCUCGUACCUAUUAUGCUAUUCAUUCUGCAAGCAAACAGUAGGAAACGUAAAAAGAAUCGAACCCCAUUCACCAUGCUAAAUAAGUAAGAAGAAUCGAACCCCAUUCAGUUUUGUCUACUCUUCUUGUCUGCAAGCAUUGAAAAUAUACAGAUAAGUUUGCAUCGUAUUAAUUUAUCUUCAUUCAUUCAGGCUACCAAUUAAAUUGGCAUUCUCUGAAGAAAACAAAACUGAGACAUUUUUUUUUUUGAGCUGAGUGGUCCAAUUGUUGUGAAAGCAUAAAUGUUGAUAAUUGUGCUGCCCA